rnacentral:lncRNA from 1 species
CUGGAUAAGUCUCAGCACACCGAAAGAUAGCCGGCACAAGGAAGACUGUAGCAAACAGAGGUUAGAUGAUAGCUGGCACGAGGCCAGUCGCUCUAGUGAGCACAAAGGCAAAAGGGCUUGAAAGGGUUAGGGCUCGAGCGAGAUGUACCUCACUCGAGAAUUGAGAUGACUUCAAGUUACAAGGUUGGAACUUCUUCCUAUGCAUUCAAUUUUGUCAUACCAAAAAAAUAGAACAUGCCACAUUGCAAUAAAAACAGGCUUAAAGAAGGCACAAGGCCAGUAGAAUCUAAACAUCCUACACUUCCAGUUAAAAGUUAAAAAAGGCUAUUUGAAUAAUAUAAAAUGUUAAGUGUAAUGAUAAGACAUGUUCUAUUCGAUACGAGUAGGAGAAACAAUAUUCUUAAAAGAAUAGAGAAAUCAGAACUAAGUGAACUUUAGAAAUAAUAUUAUUAGAAGAGACAGUCAUAAUGUUAAACAUAAACGCUGAAACGAACAUAAAAGAUAUAAAAAAUGAGCGAUUUGAUUUGACUUAAAAUUUUUAGUAACAAAUAAUUUUUUAUUGAUGGUUAAAAAUUUGAUAAUAAAGAGAUAAAAACAAAAGAUAAUAAACCGAUGAUAAUAUCUUUUAUGAGAAAGGGAAGAUUAAAUUUUAAAAUGUCUUAUGCCAAUUCGAAGUCUCUCAAACAUGUUACCAUCAAAUGACUUAGUGAAUAAGUCUAUUAGUUGCUUCUAUGUUGCACAUUCUUUAAUUCAACUACUUGCUUCUCAACUAAAUCUCUAAUAAAAUGAUGCUGAAUGUUAAUGAGUGUUUUAUUUUCGAAUGCAUAAGUUGUAGGUACAUCAUAAUCUACAAACAUUUGCUUUAUCCAAAUCGACGGAGUACAACAUCUUUUAGUUACUAUGUACUCAAUUUCAGUAGUGGAGAAAGAGAGAAUUUUGCUUUUUGUUUUACCAUGGGACUAAAUUGUACCCAAAAUAAAACCAUGCUCCAAAAGUGUUUUUUUCUAUCAUCUAAGUUCCUUGUCCAUUCACCAUCAAAAUAACCUACAAGGUUUAGAUUAAUAUCUUUAGUAAAUUAAAUACUCAAAUUUAAAGUACAAUUAACACAUCUAAUUACAUCUUUAAUUGUUUUCAAGUGUGAUUCUUUAGAGAAGCUUCAUAUCUUGCAUAUAUGUCAACAUUAUGGUAAAGGUCUAGUCUACUAGUUGCGAGAUAUAAAAUAUUGACAAUUAUACUUCAAUAAAUGGUUACAUAUGUUGCUUAAUCUUAUUCAUCUUUAAUAAAUUUUUCAUUCAAACUCAUAAGAGUACUCGAAAUUUUAAAUGUAUUCGGCUUAAACUUCUUCACUACCUCAAAAUAUAUCUCUUUUGAUUGAUAAAAGUCCUGUUGUUAAGUUAUUUAAUUUAAAAAAAAAAUAAGUUAACUGACUCACCAUGCUCUUCUCAAAUUCUGUGUCUAACAAAUUGAUCACAUGCCUUGGAUGUAAUGGAACCAAAUAUCAUAGAUCAUUGAAUCUUAACCCCGACAUGAAAUGGAGAGACUAUUGCUGAUGGAUGCUUUAGGUGUUACCUAUGCAUAGUUUGAGGAGUCGGUUUCCAUUCCUACCAAAAUAAAGAAGAAUGUAAGAGUUAAGAUACUACCAUUAGUAGCUUAGCCAUAGGCUUUUUUACCCCCCAAAAAAAAAUUACAAGUGAUAGUGACAAAUGUUAUAGUUGAGGAAGUUAAAACUUCGUAAAAAUGAUAAUCGAAAUAUACGUUUUUAGUAUAAUUAAUCACCAAUUAAUUAAAUUACAUCUUAUGAAAUCUUGAAAAUUUGAGGUUUUAGAUUUCAUUUCAUCCUUUAUUUGAUUCAACUUUGUAUUAAAUUAAGUUUUUUUAUGAGAAAUUAUGAAUAUUUAUUUUCCUGAAAUUUCUAUAAUUCAAGUCCAUUAAACAAGCCAAACUUGUAUGGUAAGCUUUUAAAUACCUAACCUAUGGUUUGGCCUUUAAAUUAAAGGUUUAAUUUAUAAUUUGGCCACUAAUAUUUAUAUAUAUAUUUUGUUAAAAUUGUUUUAAUUAUAUUAUUCAGUCUUUUUUUUGCCAUUAACUUUUAAUUUUUUUUUGAAAUUUUCUUUUCUAACAUAUUUAAUGAAUAAAUUCAAGGUUUCAAUAUUUCAUACGUUUUUACUAGGAGAUUUUUCUACUGACUUAAUUUUUUUAAAUAAUUGUGUUUAUUUUCUUUAAAUUAAGAAUUUUUUUUUAAUUUCAUGUAUUAUUUAUUUAUUUUUUUAAUUUCCACAUGUAAUUAUUUUAUAGAGUUAUUUAAAUAAUAAAUUACAUCCCACCACAUAUGAAAUUCUACAUCAUCCCCAUUAUUUUUUUUAAUGGUACUUUCAUUAAAUCUAUUAGAAAAAACAAUAAUUUGAAAAAAAAAUAAAGUUUGAUGACAAAAAAGGACACAAAAAUACAAUUAGGACCAUUUUGAUAAAACAUGUAAACUUUAAUGAUCAAAUUUGUCGUUAAAGCCUAAAUUAAAUAGCAUACAAAAUUGAAAUCCAUCUCUACGCCACUAAUUACCGUCUCAUUAAAGUCUAGUUCAGAUAAAUCCUUCCCAGUUUUUUAUAGAUCAUUUAUGUUAUUCUCAGCACUUAAAAACAGUAUUGAUUUCCAUUUUUCCUUGCUCGACAUUGACCACAAGGUUUAACCAGUAUGUUAUAUAGAUAGGUAUACUUAUAGUAGACAAGAAGUGAUGUUAUACGUUGAAAAUGCCUGCUUGUAUAAUGGUUUCACUAGAAUAUUGCAAUACAAAAAAUACUUCGAACAAGAACACCAAAGAUGUUUCUAUUACUUAGAAGUGUUGCAGCUAUGUAAUAUUGUAUCAUUUCAGUAUCUCAACUGUUUUGUACUAACAUAUAUAUAUUUAUAUAGCAUGUAAGAAUGAAAGAAUAAUCAAUGUUAGACCUAAACUUCAAUUGUUUUUUGAUUGAGAGCUUUGUAUCUCCAUUUCUCUUUCUCUAGAAAAUCAGCACCAAGGAACCUGG